CAGCGCGGUUCCGGCGGGGGCGGGCAUCUGGGGUGGGGAGCGCCCCGCGUCGGCCCGCCAGUCCGCACACCCGCGCUCCUCCGGGCGGCAGCGACGACGCUUGAAACAGAAAAAACUGUCUCCCUGGCCCGGGGCCAGCGUCCCAGCCCCCCUCGCCGCCGCUGCGCCGCGCUCCAGCCAGGGAAAACAACUGCUCACUUCUCCUGCGUCCUCCCCGCGCGCUCCCUGCUUCCCGGCGGCCGCGGAGAGGAGCCGGGCCAGGGGGAGGCGCGGAGCGGGCCGGCCGCCCGGCCUUCCUCUCCCCUCGCUCCUCCUCUCCGCCUCCACUCGCUCCGGCCUCCACUCUCCGGCCUCAGUUCGGGGCCUGGCUGGGCUUCUCCAGGGCCGGGAAGUUUCUGGGCUCCCCGCAGUCCAGCCUCCAUCUCUUGGCCUCGCAGUGGGCCCCCACUCGCGCCUGCCGUCCCCUCCCUGCCCGCUCCCUCGGCUCCUCUCCCUCGCUGCUCUCUCCACCCCUGUCCCGGGCUCCCGGCUCUAGAUCCCCGCCGGCGCGGGGCCCCUCGCCCCGCCCGGGCGCGCCCCCCGGGGUCAGCGGCCCCGGAUGCCCGGGCCCCGAGGGGCUGCCGGAGGCCUGGCCCCUGCGAUGCGCGGGGCGGGGGCGGCGGGGCUGCUGGCGCUGCUGCUGCUGCCACUACUGGGCCCGGGCGGCGGGGCCGAGGGGGGGCCGGCCGGCGAGCGGGGCGCCGGCGGGGGCGGGGCGCUGGCCCGCGAGCGCUUCAAGGUGGUCUUUGCACCGGUGAUCUGCAAGCGGACCUGUCUCAAGGGCCAGUGUCGGGACAGCUGCCAGCAGGGCUCCAACAUGACGCUCAUCGGAGAGAACGGCCACAGCACCGACACACUCACGGGCUCCGGCUUCCGCGUGGUGGUGUGCCCUCUGCCCUGUAUGAACGGCGGCCAGUGCUCCUCCCGAAACCAGUGCCUGUGUCCCCCGGACUUCACCGGGCGCUUCUGCCAGGUGCCCGCUGGAGGAGCUGGCGGGGGCACCGGCAGCUCAGGUCCAGGGCUGGGCCGGGCCGGGGCCCUGUCCACAGGCGCGUUACCGCCCCUGGCUCCUGAGGGCGAGCCUGUGGCCAGCAAGCACGCCAUCUACGCAGUGCAGGUGAUCGCUGACCCUCCCGGGCCAGGGGAGGGGCCCCCUGCGCAGCAUGCGGCCUUCCUGGUGCCCCUGGGGCCAGGGCCAGGACAGACCUCAGCAGAAGUGCAGGCCCCGCCCCCCGUGGUGAAUGUGCGGGUCCACCACCCGCCGGAGGCCUCGGUCCAAGUGCACCGCAUCGAGGGGUCCAACGCCGAAGGCCCGGCUGCGGCCCAGCUUCUGCUGCCGCACCCCAAGCCCCCGCACCCACGGCCACCCACCCAGAAACCCCUGGGCCGCUGCUUCCAGGACACGCUGCCCAAGCAGCCGUGUGGCAGCAACCCCCUGCCUGGCCUCACCAAGCAGGAAGACUGCUGCGGGAGCAUUGGCACCGCCUGGGGCCAAAACAAGUGCCACAAGUGCCCACAGCUGCAGUACACAGGGGUACAGAAGCCAGGGCCUCUACGUGGGGAGGUGGGUGCCGACUGCCCCCAGGGCUACAAGAGGCUCAACAGCACCCAUUGCCAGGACAUCAACGAAUGCGCGAUGCCAGGCAUGUGUCGCCAUGGUGACUGCCUCAACAACCCUGGCUCCUAUCGCUGCGUCUGCCCACCUGGCCAUAGCUUGGGCCCCUCUCGAACACAGUGCAUUGCCGACAAGCCAGAGGAGAAGAGCCUAUGUUUCCGCCUGGUGAGCCCUGAGCACCAGUGCCAGCAUCCCCUGACCACACGCCUCACCCGACAGCUCUGCUGCUGCAGUGUGGGCAAGGCCUGGGGUGCGCGGUGUCAGCGCUGCCCAGCAGAUGGCACCGCUGCCUUCAAGGAGAUCUGCCCAGCUGGGAAGGGGUACCACAUCCUCACCUCCCAUCAGACCCUCACCAUCCAGGGUGAAAGUGACUUUUCCCUUUUUCUGCACCCUGAUGGGCCACCCAAGCCCCAACAGCUCCCUGAGAGCCCCAGUCGGGCGCCAUCACCUGAAGACACAGAGGAAGAGAGAGGGGUGACCACCGAUCCACCAGUGAGUGAGGAGCGGUCUGUGCAGCAGAGCCACCCCACAGCCACCACCUCUCCUGCGCGACCCUACCCGGAGCUGAUGUCCCGCCCCUCACCACCUACCAUGCGCUGGUUCCUGCCGGAUUUGCCCCCCUCUCGCAGUGCAGUGGAAAUCGCCCCCACUCAGGUCACAGAGACAGAUGAAUGCCGGCUGAACCAAAACAUCUGUGGCCACGGAGAGUGCGUCCCGGGCCCCUCGGACUAUUCCUGUCACUGCAACCCGGGCUACCGGUCGCACCCGCAGCACCGCUACUGCGUAGACGUGAACGAAUGUGAGGCGGAGCCCUGCGGCCCCGGAAGAGGCAUCUGCAUGAACACCGGAGGCUCCUACAACUGCCACUGCAACCGAGGCUACCGCCUGCACGUGGGCGCCGGAGGGCGUUCGUGCGUGGACCUGAAUGAGUGCGCAAAGCCCCAUCUGUGCGGCGACGGUGGCUUCUGCAUCAACUUUCCGGGUCACUAUAAGUGCAACUGCUACCCUGGCUACCGGCUCAAAGCCUCCCGACCGCCUGUGUGCGAAGACAUUGACGAGUGUCGGGACCCUAGCUCCUGCCCGGAUGGCAAAUGCGAGAACAAACCCGGGAGCUUCAAGUGCAUUGCCUGUCAACCUGGCUAUCGCAGCCAGGGGGGCGGGGCCUGCCGCGACAUCAACGAGUGCUCGGAGGGCAGUCCCUGUUCGCCCGGCUGGUGCGAGAACCUCCCGGGUUCCUUCCGGUGCACAUGCGCCCAGGGCUACACGCCGGCGACGGACGGCCGCAGUUGCGUGGAUGUGGAUGAAUGUGAAGCUGGGGACGUGUGUGACAAUGGCAUCUGUACCAACACACCAGGCUCCUUCCAGUGUCAGUGCCUCUCUGGCUACCACCUGUCAAGGGACCGGAGCCACUGUGAGGACAUUGAUGAAUGUGACUUCCCGGCGGCCUGCAUUGGGGGUGACUGCGUCAACACCAACGGCUCCUACCGAUGUCUCUGCCCCCAGGGGCAUCGUCUGGUGGGUGGCAGGAAGUGUCAAGACAUAGAUGAGUGCAGCCAGGACCCUGGCCUGUGCCUGCCCCAUGGGGCCUGUGAGAACCUGCAGGGCUCCUACGUUUGUGUCUGUGACGAGGGCUUCACCCCUACCCAGGACCAGCAUGGCUGUGAAGAGGUGGAGCAGCCCCACCACAAGAAGGAGUGCUACCUUAACUUCGAUGAUACGGUGUUCUGCGACAGCGUAUUGGCCACCAACGUCACCCAGCAGGAGUGUUGUUGCUCACUGGGGGCCGGAUGGGGAGACCACUGUGAAAUCUAUCCUUGUCCAGUCUACAGCUCAGCUGAGUUUCACAGCCUUUGCCCGGACGGAAAGGGCUACACGCAGGACAACAACAUUGUCAACUACGGCAUCCCCGCCCACCGUGACAUCGACGAGUGCGUGUUGUUCGGAGCGGAGAUCUGCAAGGAGGGCAAGUGUGUGAACACACAGCCUGGCUACGAGUGCUACUGCAAGCAGGGCUUCUACUACGACGGGAACCUGCUGGAGUGCGUGGACGUAGACGAAUGCCUGGACGAGUCCAACUGCCGGAACGGAGUGUGUGAGAACACGCGCGGCGGCUACCGCUGCGCCUGCACGCCCCCGGCGGAGUACAGCCCAGCGCAGCGACAGUGUCUGAACCCUGACGAGAUGGGUGAGAUGGACGUGGACGAGUGCCAGGACCCGGCAGCCUGCCGCCCUGGCCGCUGCGUCAACCUACCGGGCUCCUACCGCUGCGAGUGUCGCCCGCCCUGGGUGCCCGGGCCGUCCGGCCGUGACUGCCAGCUCCCCGAGAGCCCGGCGGAACGUGCCCCGGAGCGGCGCGACGUUUGCUGGGGACAGCGUGGAGAGGAUGGCAUGUGUGCGGGCCCCUUGGCCGGGCCUGCCCUUACUUUCGAUGACUGCUGCUGUCGCCAGGGCCGCGGCUGGGGCGCCCAGUGCCGCCCGUGCCCGCCGCGUAGCGCCGGGUCCCAGUGUCCGACAUCGCAGAGUGAGAGUAAUUCCUUCUGGGACACGAGCCCCCUGCUGUUGGGGAAGCCCCCGCGAGACGAGGACAGUUCGGAGGAGGAUUCGGACGAGUGCCGCUGUGUGAGCGGCCGGUGCGUGCCGCGGCCGGGAGGCGCGGUGUGCGAAUGUCCCGGUGGCUUCCAACUGGACGCCUCUCGCACGCGCUGCGUUGACAUCGAUGAGUGCCGAGAACUGAACCAGCGCGGGCUUCUGUGCAAGAGCGAGCGCUGCGUAAACACGAACGGCUCCUUCCGCUGCGUCUGCAAAGCCGGCUUCGCGCGCAGCCGCCAGCAUGGGGCCUGUGUGCCCCAGCGCCGCCGUUGACAGGCCAACAGCCUGCACCUCCGCAAUCACCGACGGGUUUUCGCUGACAUUGGGGGCCCAGGUGCUCCCAUCUGUGAAAUGGACACUCCAGUGGAGGUGGGACAUGCCAGAUGACAGUCAAGGACAUGGAGGUGGGGGAAGAGGGAACACAAGCAUGACCACUCACCUACUUCUGCCAACUGGGUGGGAUCCUCAGAAACAGACUCCAGUUUGGACAGGAAGCUUCGAAGGGCCUUGAAGGCCUGUGGAGUAGAAGGGGCCAAGUUGGGGCUCCAGGGUUCCAGGUUCCUGAGAGCCUACCAGACUGGCUAGGAUGCAGACAUAACCCAGAGUCCCAGCCCCACGGCCCAGCCCCAGCUAUGCCUCACCUGGUCCCGCACAGAUUUUUCAGGGUCCACAGUGAGGCCACAAAGUACAGGCAGGAUCUUGUGGGCACAGUCAUUCAUUGAGUAGAGAUUGUGGGUCGCAGCAAAGCCCAAGACACCCGCAACGCGGGAUGGCGCAAAUGGGUCCUUAGUGGCCCGGCUGAAGGCAGAGGUGAGGACCCUGUGUCUGGUCUGGGGUGGGGCAGGGGAGAGAACUCCUAAGUGCAGAGUCAAAAGUGGGACCCAAAACCUCUAGGUCUUACUCCCAGAAUGGGCCAACUGUGGGAUCUCCAGGGUCUGAGAAUGUGUAUCGAGAAUAGCUUAAAAGGCACAAAUGUACUUACAACUCUCUCUGGGUUUUUCCUCCUAGAACCCUAGACUCCUUUCUGCCUCAGGGAACAGGGGCCAGAGCAGCAGCGCCCUUGGGGCAGGAGCAUGUGCGUCCCUUCUUCCCUGCCCUGCUGACCCCAUUCAUCCAUUCCUAUUAACUGGGCAUGGCUGGUGUCACAUUUACAAAACUGGGGGAUGCUCACAGGUUUGGGGCACGCCAACCUGGAUUCAGAUCCCAGAUUCACACCUACUCACUGUGUGACCUGACACAACCCACUCCACCUGCGGGUGCCCAGACACUGGGGCUAACAGGACUCCCGGAGCCUUUGUGUGGCGGGGGGAUGAGUGACCACACACACAGGGUUCCUGGCCCCAGAGGAGGUCAUGGUUCUGUGGCAGCUGUGGGACACUCACGCUUGCACUGAGGUAGGAACCAAUUUUUCCCAGGCAGACUGUGGUGUUGCAGCGGAUGGGGCCCUGUUCGUCCUUGGCCUGCAGCCGGGCAAAGUGCUUCAUGAGCUCCACGUUGAGGUUGGCUUCGUUUAGCUUUGGGGCCAGGAGCAGCAUGGACUGUGGGGUGAAGGGGACAGUAGGUGUCGUGGGGCAGGGCAGGAAUGGCCUCCUGUAAGAGUACUUUUGGCACCAAAGUCCUGCCAAAGCCUGCCAAAGUCCACUCGGCCUGGUCCUGGCCCACCUGGCAUGUUGAGAAAGGGGAGCUCCUCUACGGUCCCCCGUUACAGUAAGACCUCAAAAGUCUUGCACUCCUGUCUCCCAUCUCUCUCCUGCCUGCAGUCCAUCAGGCUCUCAGAGGAACACUCCCUGUCCACAGUGUCCCAAAUGGGCUCAGGCUGAGGUC